rnacentral:misc_RNA from 1 species
GAUGAAGAACGUAGCGAAAUGCGAUAAGUAAUAUAAAUUGCAGAAUUCAGUGAAUCAUCGAAUCUUUGAACGCACAUUGCGCCCGCCAGUAUUCUGGCGGGCAUGCCUGUUCGAGCGUCAUUACAACCCUCAAGCCCCCCGGCUUGGUGUUGGGGACCGGCCACCGGUGCCCUGCUGCUUCCGCGGCAGGCGCACCCGGCCGCCCCCGAAAUGAAUUGGCGGCCCCGUCGCGGCCUCCCUCUGCGUAGUAGCACACAUCUCGCAGCUGGAGCGCGGAGCGGCCACUGCCGUAAAACGCACCAACUUUUUUUACAGUUGACCUCGAAUCAGGUAGGAAUACCCGCUGAACUUAAGCAUAUCAAUAAGCGGAGAA